rnacentral:misc_RNA from 1 species
GUUUAAAUCACAAAACAAACACCUUAUUAGUAAAUUAACAUAGAUUUCCGCUUUGAGUUUUCAAUACAUUCAAUGGCAGUAAAGUACAAAAUAUUUGCUUGAUGUAGCGUUCCAAGAGACAAAAUGCCUAAAAUCCAUCAGAAGUACAAUAAAACAAAAUAAGAUAAGGGCUAUUGGAAAACCAGUGUCCCAGGCUUCGAAUUUCUAUCCUUUUCCCAAUCAAUCAUGUAUCAGUUAA